GGGCGGAUAUGUAUAUCGUUGGCUGAAACUGCGGUGAGGUGCACCAAUAUUCCGUGAGACCGGUUCGACUCCGGUUCCGUCCA
rnacentral:tRNA from 7 species